UACCAGCAUCCCGAGUGGUCGGGACGUUUAUUGGGCCUAAAGCAUCCGUAGCCGGUUCUACAAGUCUUCCGUUAAAUCCACCUGCUUAACAGAUGGGCUGCGGAAGAUACUAUAGAGCUAGGAGGCGGGAGAGGCAAGCGGUACUCGAUGGGUAGGGGUAAAAUCCGUUGAUCCAUUGAAGACCACCAGUGGCGAAGGCGGCUUGCCAGAACGCGCUCGACGGUGAGGGAUGAAAGCUGGGGGAGCAAACCGG
rnacentral:rRNA from 1 species